rnacentral:lncRNA from 12 species
AUACUGGAGACACACUGUGAAGUCUAGAUUACUUAAGGUCAAAUUCGAUUCUUAGUCCUUUAAGUGUUUAGAAAAUUGAGAUGAAGAGACGGGCACUGAGGGGGGCACUUGAGGGGAUGAGCACUGGGUGUUAUUCUAUAUGUUGGCAAAUUGAACACCAAUAAAAAAUAAAUUUAUAUAAAAAAAAGAAAGAGGCUGAGAUUUUGGAUCUGAUAUCACUCAGCAAUACCUUGCAAUGAAAUCAACUUUCCUUUGUGAAAUUCUGAAAGUAAACACUAAUAUCUGAAUCUUACACUGAAUCUAAUAUCAAAGUAAUAGACUGGGCUUGAAGCUGGAGAGGAGGGAAAAAAAGAAACUUCUUUAUAUACAGACUGUAAUUCUCUAGCAUUUCAGGGAUUUCUGGGAAGACUUAUUUAAUCUACCUUGUCAUGUGCUGACAUUUAAUAAACACCUCACUCCUUUCCAGGUAUUUUUAACAGUGAGCUGCAGAAGAGUAAAUCCCUGGCCAGUUAACAGUAUUGAAAUGACCGAACAGCUUCUCUCUUGAAAAACAAGACUAAUGGGCCUUGGAUUGGGAUGCUGGGCGAGACAUGUCCUAACCUGCAUAUGUUUUGUUAAGGUAAGAGGAUUUUCCCUCCAACUCUCCCCUUCCUUCCCACCAGCCCUCAGCAUUAGGAUGAAGCAAGGUGAUGUUUGUAAAACAGCUGGGA